rnacentral:rRNA from 1 species
UACGUAGGGAGCAAGCGUUGUCCGGAAUCAUUGGGCGUAAAGCGCGCGUAGGUGGCCCCGUAAGUCCGCUGUGAAAGUCAAAGGCUCAACCUUUGAAAGCCGGUGGAUACUGUGGGACUAGAGUACGGAAGAGGCGAGUGGAAUUCCUGGUGUAGCGGUGGAAUGCGCAGAUAUCAGGAGGAACACCGAUGUCGAAGGCAGGUCUCUGGGCAUUAACUGACGCUGAGGAGCGAAAGCAUGGGGAGCGAACAGG